rnacentral:rRNA from 1 species
CAUCGCCUCUUGCUUAAAUAUAAGAGGUCCAGCCUGCCCAGUGACAAAAUUUAACGGCCGCGGUACCCUGACCGUGCGAAGGUAGCAUAAUCACUUGUUCUUUAAAUAGGGACUAGUAUCAACGGCAUCACGAGGGUUUUACUGUCUCCUUUCUCCAAUCAGUGAAACUGAUCUUCCCGUGAAGAAGCGGGAAUAAACCUAUAAGACGAGAAGACCCCAUGGAGCUUUAAAUUUCACAGCAACUCAGUAACAUAUUUCCUUAUAACUCAAAGAGUUAUGCAUGCCAAUUUUAGGUUGGGGUGACCGCGGAGUAUAAAAUAACCUCCACAUCGAAAAGAACUAAAUCUUUAUUUAAGAGCCACAACUCUAAAAAUUAGUACACUAACGAACAAUGACCCGAUAAUCGAUCAACGGACCAAGUUACCCUGGGGAUAACAGCGCAAUCUACUUCAAGAGCCCAUAUCGACAAGUAGGCUUACGACCUCGAUGUUGGAUCAGGGUAUCCCAGUGGUGCAGCCGCUACUAAUGGUUCGUUUGUUCAACGAUUAAAACCCUACGU